GGUAUUUGAAGAUGCGGUUGACCGUGGUGUGUACGCUUUAUUUAUGACGUAGGACACAUGGUCUACUUCUUCUCAAUAUC
rnacentral:pre_miRNA from 1 species